rnacentral:rRNA from 1 species
AUACGGAGGGUGCGAGCGUUAAUCGGAAUUACUGGGCGUAAAGCGUACGUAGGCGGUUGGUUAAGUUAGAUGUGAAAGCCCCGGGCUUAACCUGGGAACUGCAUUUAAAACUGGCGAACUAGAGUUGAGUAGAGGGGAGUGGAAUUUCAGGUGUAGCGGUGAAAUGCGUAGAGAUCUGAAGGAACACCAGUGGCGAAGGCGACUCGCUGGACUCGAACUGACGCUGAGGUACGAAAGCGUGGGUAGCAAACGGGAUUAGAAACCCUAGUAGUCC